rnacentral:rRNA from 1 species
CAUAUCACCCCUUUGUGCAUCACCGCGCGGGUCCCCCCUUUGCAGGGGGGCUCGCGUUUUCACAUAAAACUUGAUACAGUCUAGAAUGUUUGUUUUUGCGGUCACACGCAAUCAAUACAACUUUCAACAACGGAUCUCUUGGCUCUCGCAUCGAUGAAGAACGCAGCGAAAUGCGAUACGUAAUGUGAAUUGCAGAAUUCAGUGAAUCAUCGAAUCUUUGAACGCACCUUGCGCCCCUUGGCAUUCCGAGGGGCACACCCGUUUGAGUGUCGUGAAAUCCUCAAAACCCCUCUUCUUUCAUCGGAAUGGGGAUUUUGGACUUGGAGGUUCAAUGCUUGCUUUUGCUUUCGAAAGCAAGCUCCUCUUAAAUGAAUCAGUGGGGUCCGCUUUGCCGAUCCUUGACGUGAUAAGAUGUUUCUACGUUUUGGAUCUGGCAAUGUUUUCCUCGCUCCUAAUCGUCUCAUUGACAAAGGAUGGUGCUUCGGUCCCUGCCAUAAUAUCUACGUUGGCGGGAGGCUGGACCCACAAAAA